rnacentral:rRNA from 1 species
UAGGGAAUCUUCCACAAUGGACGCAAGUCUGAUGGAGCAACGCCGCGUGAGUGAAGAAGGUUUUCGGACCGUAAAGCUCUGUUGUUGGUGAAGAAGGAUAGAGGUAGUAACUGGCCUUUAUUUGACGGUAAUCAACCAGAAAGUCACGGCUAACUACGUGCCAGCAGCCGCGGUAAUACGUAGGUGGCAAGCGUUGUCCGGAUUUAUUGGGCGUAAAGCGAGCGCAGGCGGAAGAAUAAGUCUGAUGUGAAAGCCCUCGGCUUAACCGAGGAAUUGCAUCGGAAACUGUUUUUCUUGAGUGCAGAAGAGGAGAGUAGAACUCCAUGUGUAGCGGUGGAAUGCGUAGAUAUAGUGGAAGAAUACCAGUGGCGAAGGCGGCUCUCUGGUCUGCAACUGACGCUGAGGCUCGAAAGCACGGGUAGCGAACAGGAUUAGAUACCCUGGUAGUCCAUGCCGUAAACGAUGAGUGCUAAGUGUUGGGAGGCUUCCGCCUCUCAGUGCUGCAGCUAACGCAUUAAGCACUCCGCCUGGGGGAGUACGACCGCAAGGUUGAAAC